rnacentral:lncRNA from 1 species
GCGCAAAGCAGAGCCAGAGGCACUGCAGUCUCUCAGGAGGUCCACGCGGCACAGCACCAACUGUGACAGGCUGUCUGAAAGCAGCUCGUCACCUCAGCCGAAGCGCAGGCAACAGGACACAUCCACCAGCAUGCCGAAGCUGUUUCUGCACUUGGAAAAGAGUGAGUUUGUCCUAAGAGCCCCAGGCCAGGGAAAGGUGUUUUUUUCGUUUGUUGUUAGCCUCUCAAGUAUGUAUAAAGUGUGCGAUUCUCCAGAUCUCACACAGGUUGCUAUAAAGCUACUUCCUUUGAAAAGGAAAACAUCCACAGAAAGCUACUGGCUUGGGUGGUUCAGUGAGAACUAGGGAGGCCAGACUGGGCUCUGUGUUUAAGGUUGAUUUGUUAUCCUUCCUCUUUGCUACUUUUGUGAGCUGGUGUAGUUAUAGGAAUCCCAUGUUUUCUAUACUCAUUCAAGAUGAAUUGUGCUAAUAGAUUGCUACAUUUCCAUUCCUGUUUUCAAAACUUUCCUUGAAGAAUUCCGUUUGAAUAAAAUGUUCAAAUGAGAUUGCUGGUUUCGACGGAGUAUGCUAGAAAAUUCCCUAUUUGAAGUGAUUUUUAGUAUAGUUAGAACUGUACAGCUGUCUUCACAAUCAGUUCAUAUAGUCUCAUCACAGAAUGAAAGAAAGCUUUCCUACCUUCAUCCGCCCUUCCCCACCUCCCUUGGAAACUACCAGUCUACUUGGCACUUUAGAUUAGUCAGUUUGAGAUAUUUUAUAGUAAUGGAAUAAUGUUUCAUGUAUAUACACAAUGGAUGAGGUGAUAGAAUGAGGUUUAAUUAAGGCAUAAAACACUUGUUAAAAACAAAUUUGAAAGAUGAAAUAUUUCCCUGACUCCCACUCCAGCCCCUGGUACAUUUUUCUUGACAUUAUUUAUUUAGGUAAAAAUCACAUGUAAAGCUGGUGAAUUUUAUAUUUUUAUUUUAUUUGUCUAGAUGCUUUGUUUUCAUCUACAUCUGUGCACCAUGGUGCCUAGUGCCCCCAGAAGCCAAAAGAAGGUGCCAGAUCCCGUGGAAC